UACAGAGGUCUCAAGCGUUGUUCGGAUUCAUUGGGCGUAAAGGGUGCGUAGGUGGCGGGGUAAGUCAGGUGUGAAAUCUCGGGGCUCAACCCCGAAACUGCACUUGAUACUGCCUUGCUCGAGUACUGGAGAGGAGAUUGGAAUUUACGGUGUAGCAGUGAAAUGCGUAGAUAUCGGGAGGAACAUCAGUGGCGAAAGCGGCUACCUGGCCCAAUACUGACACUCAGGUGCGACAGCGUGGGAGCAAACAGG
rnacentral:rRNA from 1 species